rnacentral:misc_RNA from 1 species
GAUGAAGAACGUAGCGAAAUGCGAUACUUGGUGUGAAUUGCAGAAUCCCGUGAACCAUCGAGUCUUUGAACGCAAGUUGCGCCCGAAGCCAUUAGGCCGAGGGCACGCCUGCCUGGGCGUCACACGUCGUUGCCCCCCCAUCUACUCCUUCGGGAUUGCGGGGGGCGGAUGAUGGCCUCUCGUGCGCCUCGUCGCGCGGUUGACCUAAAUGCCAAGUCCUCGGCGACGCACGCCACGACAAUCGGUGGUUGCGAAACCUCGGUUGCCCGUCGUGUGCGUUCGUCGCGCAUCGAGGGCUCGAAAAAAUGCUCGGCUCCGGCUCGGCUUUCAACGCGACCCCAGGUCAGGCGGGGUUACCCGCUGAAUUUAAGCAUAUCAAUAAGCGGAGGA